UGGGAGCCCUGUUACUUCUCCAUGAAA
rnacentral:piRNA from 1 species